rnacentral:rRNA from 1 species
AGAACGAACGCUGGCGGCACGCCUAACACAUGCAAGUCGAGCGCCCAGCAAUGGGAGCGGCGGACGGGUGAGUAACACGUGGGAAUAUGCCUUUCGGUACGGAACAACUCAGGGAAACUUGAGCUAAUGCCGUAUACGCCCUUACGGGGAAAGAUUUAUCGCCGAAAGAUUAGCCCGCGCCUGAUUAGCUAGUUGGUGAGGUAAUGGCUCACCAAGGCUUCGAUCAGUAGCUGGUUUGAGAGAACGACCAGCCACACUGGGACUGAGACACGGCCCAGACUCCUACGGGAGGCAGCAGUGGGGAAUCUUGGACAAUGGGGGAAACCCUGAUCCAGCGAUGCCGCGUGAGUGAUGAAGGCCUUCGGGUUGUAAAACUCUUUCGACGGGGACGAUAAUGACGGUACCCGUAGAAGAAGCUCCGGCUAACUUCGUGCCAGCAGCCGC